UAUCUCAAGGACGAUACAGUUUCUCAUCCACCACCUCACUCAUCUUCCUUCCCUCUCACGAUUGCACUAAACUACACACACAAUUCAGCACAUGUGCAUAUCCUUCAUGAAUCUCGAUUGUACAAUUCAAUCUCUGCCAAAAUCCACAGCUGUAAAAGAGAUGUAGAGAAGCUUCAUAAUAUCUCAUUCCUAUUUGAAGGCCCCACUCAUUUUCUAUCACCUGCCCAUACCUCUUACUUCCGUAUCUUCUCCAAUAAACAGAGAAGAGAUUCAACAGCUAUUAGAGUUGUUUUCCCCAUCUCAAACCCAGUUCCUUGUACCUUCUCUUUCUCCAAUGGCAAACCAACCCAAAAGCUCCCUGAUCACCACCGAUUCCAGUUGAAGCAAAUCCCUGACCAUAAACAGGCCUGUAGGCGCAGCUUACCAGAGAAAAAGAAGCAGCGACUACUUCCAUUUUUCCCUCCUGCCUUCAUUUGUUCGACUAUCAAACAACUUCCACACAUCUUUUCCUUGCUCCUCCAUCGAUCUCAGGUCGACUCCAAGAUUCCCGUUCCAAAUCCCCCUUAGAACAGGAGCUUCCUGACACUUCCGACUCUCAAAACCAACGAAAUUAAGGCAAGAAAUUCACGCGAGGAGUAUGGAAUCAUCGUCUUAUAUUUUUGUUCUAAAUUAUGUUUUAUGUCCUCUUUUUGAAUCGUUGAAGAUUUGUCAUGAAACAUGUAACAAAGUAAGAUAUAAUUAUGUCGUAUGUGAUGUAAAACUUUAAGUGGUUGUUUAAUGUUUGAUAUAUGCUAUGUUUGUGAUAUUCGAUUUUUGUCACUCACCCGGUGAUUCCGCCGUUGGCUGGGGUGUGACAGAUAUCAACGACUCAAUGUAAGUAUUUUGUUGUCCCUGGUUGAAAUUGAAUGUGUGCAUGCUUCGUAGA